rnacentral:rRNA from 1 species
UACGUAGGGUGCAAGCGUUGUCCGGAAUUAUUGGGCGUAAAGGGCGUGUAGGCGGCCCGAUUAGUCCGCUGUGAAAGUCCAGGGCUCAACCCUGGAAUGCCGGUGGAUACUGUCGGGCUAGAGUCCGGAAGGGGCGAGUGGAAUUCCUGGUGUAGCAGUGAAAUGCGUAGAGAUCGGGAGGAACAUCAGUUGCGAAGGCGGCUCUCUGGACCAGCACUGACACUGAGGCACGAAAGCGUGGGGAGCAAACAGG